UACGUAGGUGGCAAGCGUUGUCCGGAUUUAUUGGGUUUAAAGGGUGCGUAGGCGGCCCUGUAAGUCAGUGCUGAGAUAUCCCAGCUUAACUGGGAGGGUGGUAUUGAUACUGCGGGGCUAGAGUACAGAUGAGGUAGGCGGAAUUGACGGUGUAGCGGUGAAAUGCUUAGAUAUCGUCAAGAACACCUAUAGCGAAGGCAGCUUACUAGGCUGUAACUGACGCUGAGGCACGAAAGUGUGGGGAUCAAACAGG
rnacentral:rRNA from 1 species